rnacentral:rRNA from 1 species
UUAGAGUUUGAUCCUGGCUCAAGAUGAACGCUGGCGGCGUGCUUAACACAUGCAAGUCGAACGGAGCUAUGAGAGAAGCUUGCUUCACUUUUAGCUUAGUGGCGGACGGGUGAGUAACGCGUGAGUAACCUACCCUUCAGAUUGGAAUAACAUCGAGAAAUCGGUGCUAAUACCGAAUAAUGUCGGAUUGCCGCAUGACAGACCGACCAAAGAUUUAUCGCUGAAGGAUGGACUCGCGUCCGAUUAGUUUGUUGGUGGGGUAACGGCUCACCAAGACUGCGAUCGGUAGCCGAACUGAGAGGUUGAUCGGCCACAUUGGGACUGAGACACGGCCCAGACUCCUACGGGAGGCAGCAGUGGGGAAUAUUGGGCAAUGGGCGCAAGCCUGACCCAGCAACGCCGCGUGAAGGAUGAAGGUCUUCGGAUUGUAAACUUCUUUGAUCAGGGACGAAACAAAUGACGGUACCUGAAGAACAAGCCACGGCUAACUACGUGCCAGCAGCCGCGGUAAUACGUAGGUGGCGAGCGUUAUCCGGAUUUACUGGGUGUAAAGGGCGUGUAGGCGGUUCUGCAAGUCAGAAGUGAAAUUCCCGGGCUUAACUCGGGCGCUGCUUCUGAAACUGCAGAACUUGAGUACUGGAGAGGAUAGUGGAAUUCCUAGUGUAGCGGGAAAAUGCGUAAAUUUUUAGGACGAACCCCAGUGGCGAAGGCGGCUUUUCUGGACAGUAACGGACGUUGAGGCGCGAAAGCGUGGGGAGCAAACAGGGUUUAGAUACCUGGGUAUUCCACGCCGUAAACGAUGAAUACUAGGUGUAGGGGGUAUCGACUCCCUUCUGUGCCGCAGUUAACACAAUAAGUAUUCCACCUGGGGAGUACGGCCGCAAGGUUGAAACUCAAAGGAAUUGACGGGGGCCCGCACAAGCAGUGGAUUAUGUGGUUUAAUUCGAAGCAACGCGAAGAACCUUACCAGGACUUGACAUCCUCUGACCGCUCUAGAGAUAGAGCUUUCCUUCGGGACAGAGUGACAGGUGGUGCAUGGUUGUCGUCAGCUCGUGUCGUGAGAUGUUGGGUUAAGUCCCGCAACGAGCGCAACCCUUGUCUUUAGUAGCCAGCAGUUCGGCUGGGCACUCUAGAGAGACUGCCAGGGAUAACCUGGAGGAAGGUGGGGAUGACGUCAAAUCAUCAUGCCCCUUAUGAUUUGGGCUACACACGUGCUACAAUGGCGUAAACAAAGAGAAGCGAGUCUGUGAGGAGGAGCAAAUCUCAAAAAUAACGUCUCAGUUCGGAUUGUAGUCUGCAACUCGACUACAUGAAGCUGGAAUCGCUAGUAAUCGCGAAUCAGAAUGUCGCGGUGAAUACGUUCCCGGGUCUUGUACACACCGCCCGUCA